rnacentral:lncRNA from 1 species
CAGCCAGAAGAGCAGAUCUGAUUUGAGGGCAGCUGGGAAGCCGUCCAAUCUGGAGAGCCUCUACAAUUAGCAAAACAAGGUCUGGAAUUCCUGGACUUCACUCCUUGUUAGCGAGAAAGCGAAACACGUGAUGUUCUGCUUUGCUCUCAGUGUCAAAACCUUGUGCUCAUGGGCCCUGGCGGCUACACAGAAAGCCCUGAGGACUGAAACCCUGCAUGGGUACAUUUUGAUGGGGCAGGAAGAAAAGUUCUGGAGUGUGGAGAGCAGAGGUCCAGAGCAUUCACUGAUUUAGCCACAGAAGAAACAGAUGCGGAAACCGGGGCACAGCAGGCGAAGUGAAACUUCCCAUGUUCCAGCAAAGCCCAGUCCAUAACGUGAGGCUUUGUGAGGUUUGUGUGUGCGACCUUCACCCCUUCACCUGGACCCUCUCUUUGUCCUCCUUUCGCACCCAGUGAUGUGUGGCCUGGAUCACUUCCCUGCCCUCAAGUCUUGCCCUGGCCUGACGUUCAGCGGACCCUCCGUGCAUUAAGGAUGGAGGAUGGUUCCUUGUGCUUCCUCUACCAGGUGCACUUGUAUCUGCUCGGAAUUCUGGAAGAGCAAAGACCCACUGGCCCCACUAAUCCAUCUAUUGAUCCUGCCCCGGUCAGCAGGCUGGGUCUAGCCUCCACACUGCCGCUGCUCAGGGUCUGUGGAGGAAGUCGCUGCAGCCAUUCAGCCAGAUGAAUCGCAAUUAAUAAAUGUGGAACGAAUGAGAGACGAAGACGAUGAGCACCAGAGGACUGCAGGGAGCACGGCUGAGGCAACAUCACCAGAGGAUAGUAAAAUUAGCAGACAGAGAUCUAAGCACAAACAGUGUCUCUGUGUAGCCUUAAAGCAUCUCUUUGAAUAUUUAAUGGUUACAAAGGAAAAACAGUGAGUUGAUGGGGGAGAACCCUGGCAGGCACCACCCUAACCAAGAGAUCAAAGUUGGCAUGACCAGGCACAAGGCACACUAACAGCCCACACCCACUGAUCUGGCCCACCGAAAAUGCACAUCACUUCUGUGGCAUUGCCACGGAAUUUCCAAAAAGGCAUUACCUCAGUCCAAUGCAGAGAAGGCGUCAGGCAGACCUAGGCGGAGAGACUGUCCAAGAGCGACAGACCCAUCCUCUUAAAAAGCCGGCCCUGACACAGAAAGGAGACAGAGAAAGGUGACAGCCAAAUGCACGUGGGAGCUGGGAACAGAGGAGGGCACUGGGAGGGGCCUGCCUGCCGUCCAGCUCUCGAGACCACGGCGAGAUGAACUUUCAAAUCAGCUUCUCAAGUGUCAACAUCCUGUUGCGAUUUUCAUUGAUAUUGAACUGAAUUUAUAGAUUUUGUAAGCAGAAAAAAAUUAUUUUAAUUUUUUGAGAAAAAAAGUUUUAAAUGGUUUGUUUUCAGACUGUGUCAAGAUAUCCCUACCUCCGAAGUUGUCAGGUUUGCGGACCUUGGGGUGAAGCGUGGGGCUGCUGGAGGCGUCCAGCCCUGACUGUGUGUCCAGGACAAUGAGCCCCGAAGUGAGCGGGCCGCGUCCUGUUGGCGCAGCCAACUUCACGCCCUCUGUCCAGGGAGGACUAAGGGACAAGCUGCAGCAGGCGCAGAGGACGCUGUUGGUGUCCGGGAGGCCGCUGGUACAGGGCGUUGGGCGUGGCUCCUUUCCAAGUGCCUUGCACUUUCCAGGCUGGGCUGCAGAAGCAGGCUCGGGGGCGACUCGCGUGGGGACUGAAGCAGCCAGCCUUGGCACCUGCCCACAGCAAAUAACUGCCUUGACUUGAUCUGGUUUUUUUGAAGAAAGGUUUAUUCAUACCCAUUAUGUGCGCAUGUGUAAAUUCAAACCCACGGCUUGCCGGAGCCUGGGCUUUCUCGAACAUCAGUUGCUCCCAUGCUACCAUUUUGCAGUUUGCCCGUCUCCAGUAGAUGAUUUCUGAAUAUUUUAAUCAACUCAUUAUUAACCAUUCACACGUCUACCUUAGCCUCAUUUUAAGCAAUUGCACCUGUGGGUUUCACAGGCCUGCUGUAUUUUUAGUACAUAUUAAAUAAAGCAUGUCUGUUGGGGCGUGCUGUGCUUGCCCACCUG